CCCCGAGCCUCCUAAUCUGCAUAGCCCCACCCCCGCUCCCGCCGCGCGGUGUCCUGGGAAACUGGGGCCCCACAACAAAGGGCAAAGCACCGCCCCUCCUGCGCGCAGGCGCAGCAGGAAUCGGCGGAUCGGGGCUUCCUCCCUGACGCGCCGGUGGCGUACCUCAGCUUUGGGUCGAGAGGCCUGAAUGAGGUAAAAAUGGAACACAAGAAAAAGGAAAAAGAAAUCAAGGAUUCUGAAGGGCCAAGGAGAUCACUGGAUAUUGCUUGGAAUGGCAGACCAUUUACUUGUUCCCAUUUGAUUCCCCAUCAUCCAAGUCUGAAAAUGUAAUGUCUAAAAAAGUGA